UACGAAGGGGGCUAGCGUUGCUCGGAAUCACUGGGCGUAAAGGGUGCGUAGGCGGGUCUUUAAGUCAGGGGUGAAAUCCUGGAGCUCAACUCCAGAACUGCCUUUGAUACUGAAGAUCUUGAGUUCGGGAGAGGUGAGUGGAACUGCGAGUGUAGAGGUGAAAUUCGUAGAUAUUCGCAAGAACACCAGUGGCGAAGGCGGCUCACUGGCCCGAUACUGACGCUGAGGUGCGAAAGCGUGGGUAGCAAACAGG
rnacentral:rRNA from 1 species